UACGGAGGGUGCAAGCGUUGUUCGGAAUCAUUGGGCGUAAAGAGCGUGUAGGCGGCCCGAUAAGUCCGCUGUGAAAGUCCAGGGCUCAACCCUGGGAUGCCGGUGGAUACUGUCGGGCUCGAGUCCGGAAGAGGAGUGUGGAAUUCCUGGUGUAGCGGUGAAAUGCGCAGAUAUCAGGAGGAACACCAAUUGCGAAGGCAGCUCGCUGGGACGUUACUGACGCUGAGACGCGAAAGCGUGGGGAGCAAACAGG
rnacentral:rRNA from 1 species